rnacentral:rRNA from 1 species
GACGAACGCUGGCGGCGUGCUUAACACAUGCAAGUCGAACGGUAAGGCCCUCCGGGGUACACGAGUGGCGAACGGGUGAGUAACACGUGGGUGAUCUGCCCUGCACUUCGGGAUAAGCCUGGGAAACUGGGUCUAAUACCGGAUAGGACCAUUGCCUGCAUGGGUGGUGGUGGAAAGCUUUUGCGGUGUGGGAUGGGCCCGCGGCCUAUCAGCUUGUUGGUGGGGUGAUGGCCUACCAAGGCGACGACGGGUAGCCGGCCUGCGAGGGUGACCGGCCACACGGGGAAUGAGAUACGGCACAGACUCCUACGGGAGGCAGCAGUGGGGAAUAUUGCACAAUGGGCGCAAGCCUGAUGCAGCGACGCCGCGUGAGGGACGACGGCCUUCGGGUUGUAAACCUCUUUCAGCACCGACGAAGCGCAAGUGACGGUAGGUGCAGAAGAAGGACCGGCCAACUACGUGCCAGCAGCCGCCGUAA